rnacentral:rRNA from 1 species
GUGGGGAAUAUUGGACAAUGGGCGCAAGCCUGAUCCAGCCAUGCCGCGUGAGUGAUGAAGGCCUUAGGGUUGUAAAGCUCUUUCACCGAUGAAGAUAAUGACGGUAGUCGGAGAAGAAGCCCCGGCUAACUUCGUGCCAGCAGCCGCGGUAAUACGAAGGGGGCUAGCGUUGUUCGGAUUUACUGGGCGUAAAGCGCACGUAGGCGGUUUGUUAAGUCAGAGGUGAAAUCCCGGAGCUCAACUCCGGAACUGCCUUUGAUACUGGCAAGCUAGAGUCCGGAAGAGGUAAGUGGAACUCCUAGUGUAGAGGUGGAAUUCGUAGAUAUUAGGAAGAACACCAGUGGCGAAGGCGGCUUACUGGUCCGGAACUGACGCUGAGGUGCGAAAGCGUGGGGAGCAAACAGGAUUAGAUACCCCAGUAGUCC